UACGUAGGUGGCGAGCGUUGUCCGGAUUUACUGGGCGUAAAGAGCGCGCAGGCGGUCGAUCAAGUCGCGUGUGAAAGCCCCCGGCUCAACUGGGGAGGGUCACGCGAUACUGUUCGACUUGAAGGCAGGAGAGGGAAGUGGAAUUCCCGGUGUAGUGGUGAAAUGCGUAGAUAUCGGGAGGAACACCAGUGGCGAAGGCGACUUCCUGGCCUGUUCUUGACGCUGAGGCGCGAAAGCUAAGGGUAGCAAACGGGGAUUAAGAUAUC
rnacentral:rRNA from 1 species